GAGAGGUCCCGCCUGCCCUGUGACCACAAGUUUAACGGCCGCGGUAUUUUGACCGUGCAAAGGUAGCGUAAUCACUUGUCUUUUAAAUGAAGACCUGUAUGAAUGGCAUAACGAGGGCUAAGCUGUCUCCUCUCCCCAGUCAAUGAAAUUGAUCUUUCCGUGCAGAAGCGGGAAUGAAAACAUAAGACGAGAAGACCCUAUGGAGCUUAAGACACAAGGCAGCAAACGUUAAGACCCCUGGACAAACAGCUACAACCAAGUUAGCGCCUGCCCCUUUGUCUUUGGUUGGGGCGACCGCGGAGGAACAAAAAUCCCCCACGUGGAACAGGACCUGCUCCUCAAGACCAGAGCCUCAGCUCUAGUAAACAGAACAUCUGACCAUAAAGAUCCGGUAAUACCGAUCAACGGACCGAGUUACCCUAGGGAUAACAGCGCAAUCCCCUUUCAGAGCCCAUAUCGACAAGGGGGUUUACGACCUCGAUGUUGGAUCAGGACCCCCUAAUGGUGCAGCCGCUAUUAAGGGU
rnacentral:rRNA from 1 species